GGGGUUGUGGUUCAGUGGUACAGUGCUUGCCUACCAUGCAAGAAGCACUGGGUUCGAUCCUCAGCACCACA
rnacentral:tRNA from 1 species